CUCAGGUCAUGAUCCUGGAGUCCCGGGAUCGAGUCCCGCAUCGGGCUCCCUCCUCAGCGGGGGGUCUGCUUCUCCCUCUGACCCUCUUCCCUCUCGUGCUCUCUGUCUCUCAUUCUCCCUCUCAAAUAAAUAAAUAAAAUCUUUAAAAAAAAAAAAAAAGAAUAGAGGCUAUAUUACAUGUAACAUACAAAGUAUGUUCAUCAACUGUUUCUGUUGUCUGUAAAGCUUCCGGUCAACAGUAGGCUCCUAGUAGUUAAGUUUUGGGGGAGUCAGAAGUUAUACGUGGAUUUUUUACUGCAUCCCUAAACCCUACGUUGUUCAAAGGUCAACCGUAUACAUUUUUUUCUUUUUUCAUCCCCACACAAGCAAACAAAUGAGCGUUCUCCAGAUUUGGGGAGCUCUCAAUGGAUGAGUCCAUAUUAGGCACCUCUGAGAAGCAUUUCUGGAAACAGAAACCCUACCACAGAGCUCACACUACUUGUUGGAGUUGGGGGCUAACAAGGUAGACGAGGCAUUCCGAGAUUUAAGGAUAAGAUCCUACCCAGGGACACACUGCACCUCUUUUUUUUUUCUUUUUUGCCUGUUUGCCUUGUUUUUGUUUGUUUGUUUGUUUGUUUAUAAUAUACUGAGUUGAUUCAAAGGACUUAGAGUCCAGUUGGGGAGAUAUAUAUUUAUGAAUUUAAAAAAAAAUGUAAGAAUUCCUGGGAAGUGAAUAUGCUCGCAGGCACGUGUAUCUUAAAGACACGACGGGCAGUAGGAGUUAAGGUGGGAGACUUACUUCUCAGGGCUGGAGCAGAAAAGACUUUGGGCUCAUAAUGGAAAAUUUGGGUUUCCAGCUUGGCUCUGUGUGACCUUGGACAAGCCCAUUCCGCCUUUCUUCGUCCUCAUCAGGAAGUCAGCAAAGGAAGCCUCAAAGCCUGGCAGGAUCUACAUUUUUUGAAAUCUGGACCCUGAAACCUGCUCUCAACCUAGGCUUGCUGAUGAGUGCAGCCAGCACUCUGCCCUCGUUGUCCAAACAGCUUCUGCAGGACCACCAAACACGUCCUGGGCACAGCCAGCCGCGUGGAGGGCAGCUUUCACCCAGAAAAUGACGCUCCUGCACGUCCAAGGAACAUGUGACCUCAUUACAAAUUCUUCAUAACCAAUUCUUCGAGGUCACCCAAGAACCCCUGCUUGACGAGGGCCCCAGAUCACCAUGGAUGUACUGGAAUGUCCUGUAGCCUCAUGGCCUGAGACGUGUGAUGCUGCUGGACUUUUCCAGGACCUCAGCGGGGAACCCCACCCCAGAGCCUUCCAUGAAUCAGAAAAUUUUAAAUGUAAAAUCGAAAAAUGUUACACUGGAGGCUCCCAUCAUAUUUCUGCAGUGUGGCCUUCGAGACUCACCUAAAACUGUGAGUGAAAUUGUUGCACUUUAAUAUCAUGUUAGGAAAACUCCUCCUCCCUCCCCACCAAAAAAAAAACUGGUCCUAGAGAGCCAACAAAGGUUUGAUCUGGAUGAGUGCCCCGUUGGCCCCCUUCCGUGGUACAGAUGAUAAAAGGGAGGCCCAGAGAGAAGUGACUGGUUUGGCUGGGGUCACUGAGUGUCACUGCGGAGCACGCCAGCGAUUUCCCACUGUUCCUGCAAAACAGCGGGAACUACGGGGGCCAAACUUCCAGAAACCCCUCCUGCAUCGCUGCCUCAGAAUGAAGUCUGUCAGUGUCUCCCAGUGGAAUUCCGGACGCAGGUCCACGGACCCCCCCGCCUCCACCCGCACCUGCGCCCGGCUGGAUGUGCACCUGCUCCCGCAGACAGCGCAGGGCCCCGAGAGGUCUGGGCCUGAGGUCAGCAAACCGGCAGACGGAGGCCGAAAUCUGGCCCUCAGACCUGUUUUGAUUGGCUCGUGACGUUUUACAGUUUUGUGAAUCACUUGCCAACGUUUCAACAUUAGGAAACGUCAAUAAAAAUAUGGCUUCCACUUCUGCAGAAUGAGCUCUGGCGACACGAGGCUUGUUUUCCUGCCUGGCAGCCACCUGCCGGCGCUCCCAGCGGCUGCCCCUCGGAGGUGGGGAUGUGGGGCCGUGGCUCCGAAGCCCCAUCCCCGCAGCCCUCACGCCGCCCACCCUCUGCCCACGGGGGCCUCGCUCUAGUCAACUUGACCUGCCGUUCUUCCUGGAGCAGGGGUAAGAGGAAGGGGAAAUGCUUUCCAUACCUGGCUCCAUCGAGGCAAAGACAGCAAAGCUCAGCCAAGAGGGCUUCGUGUUCCAGCGAAAAAAAAUCUUUUCUCCCCAGCUGCGCCCCCACUUAGCUCCCUCCUCACCACGGACACCUGAGUUUGCUACCCACGCUAAUUUCUUUCUGCUGCACCCAGGACAAAAGGGAAGGUGAGCAUUUUAGUCGUUUGCUGUGAGAAAACUGAGGCCCUGGCAGGUGGCCAUCCACCAGAUACAGGGAGCAGACUAGGAGUGGGGACCCCGAGGCCCAGGGUGUCUGAGGUCUAGGGCUUCUUUCCAGCCCUAACGCUCCAGGACCAAGUCACCAGCAUUUGUUGGCCAUUUGUUGGUUCUUCUGCCCCAGGGACAGAUAAUGUAUCUCAGGGUGGGAGCCAAAUUCGAUGCACUCAGCCUGCCCCCGCCCCAACCCCCCAGCUUUUCCCAAGAGCCACAUCCAGGCUCAGGAAGGAAAAGGACUCGAGUUCAGCCAGGCUGAGGGCAGUCACCACUGGUAAGAUGUUCAGCUUGGCAUUUCUGCUACUUUCCCGACCAUCAGGCCAUCCUCUGUUCCUGAUGACAUCCCACCCUCAGGGCCCUGGAGCCCAGUCCUGUCUCCAGGAUGUGGGUCUGGCCACACCCAGACACCUGCAGCUUUCAGAAGAGGGGGAGCAGAGUCCCAGACAAGGCCUGCCGUGGGAGGUCAGCACCCUGACCGGAACAGGGCAGCCCCCCAAGCCAGGGCCCCUCUCAGCUCCCUCACAGUUGUGGUGACAAGUGCCCAGCCCGUACAUGCUCCCAGCAGCUGGUAGAAGCCUAUUCACAUCUAGUCCUCAAAACCGGUGAAUCAAUGUGGGAACAGAUUCUUGUGCAGUUGCCUGGAAUAGGGAGCCGUGCUUGCUGGGUAAAUGGCAAAGGAUGUAAGUCCUUCAUUUCACUAGAAAAUGAGUGGAGAGAAUGCUCUGGAGUGGAAGGAGGUGGCGCAAACUUCUUUGGCCAACCAGGUGAGUUCUCAGUGCAGAACGCUUUGCUCCUUUGUUUUUCCCCUUUGUUUAGGGAAAAAGUACCAUGCGCCUAUAUGGCUGAGUGAAAAAAACAACAAAAAAUGCGCAGAAACAAUGCGUUUAGAAUGCUACUUUUAUGGUAGAAUGAGGGGGAAAAAAGAAUCUCAUUCAGGCUUGCUUGGAUUUACAUCAAGAAAAUAUGGAAGGAUACACAAGAAGCUAACAAAAAUAGUUGCUGGGGGACAAGGGAGAAGAAUACAUCUCAGAGUAUACAUUUUAAAAGAAAAUAAAAUGUAAACUAAAAAUACCACAAACAACUCAUAAAUAGUUUAAAAAGCAGAAGAGGAACUCCCACCCUUAAUCCUACUCCUGUAAAAGCAUAUUCAUGUGUGCUUAUUCUCUUUCUGUUUUUAUCCCUAUGCUUUUAUAUUUUAUACAUGCAUACAGCCACAGGGCACAGAAAAGUGUCUAAUUAUUUCAAUGAACAUCAGAAGCGCUUCACAGGGUGCCAGGUAGGACUCAUUUUGGUUGGAUACCUAAAAUUCCAUCAGCUUUCUUAUUUCUAAGGACCCUCGGUCUUUAUUUCUUCCUUUCUAAAGCUAACAGGGUUGAUUCGCUCUAAAGCUCAUCACUCAGCCGAAUCAUGGCUGCGACCUGGUCGAUGGAAGAACAAAACAGAGACUGUCUCAUCCGAGGACACAGCGGAAAAACCGAGCCAGGACCCACGCCUUUCCCCCAGGCCACUGGGAUUGCUCAUCGACCUAACACAGCGGGAGUUCCCACCAAGGGUUUUCAUACCCCUUAGAGCUAAGAGUUCUUUCAGAUCUGUUUACUUUUCAUUUUAAAAUGAUUAUAGGGGUGCCUGGGUGGCUCAGUUGGUUGAGCGACUGCCUUCGGCUCAGGUCAUGAUCCUGGAGUCCCUGGAUCGAGUCCCACAUCGGGCUCCCUGCUCGGCAGGGAGUCUGCUUCGUCCUCUGACCCUAUCCCCUCUCAUGUGUUCUCUCUCUCUCAUUCUCUCUCUCUCAAAUAAAUAAAUAAAAUCUUUAAAAAAAAUAAAAAAAAUAAAAUGAUUAUAGACUCACAGGAAGUUGCAAAAAUAGGACAGAGGGCCCACGUACCCUUCACCCAGCUCCCCCCCAGUGGUUACAUCUUAAAUAAGCACAGCACAGUAUCAAGGCCAAGAAACUGACUUUGAUACAAUGUGUGUAGUGCUGGGCCAUUUCACCACAAAUUCCCAUAACCGCCACCCCAGGCAAGAUACAGAAUUAUUCCAGAACCAGAAAGGUUUCCCUCAGGCGCCCCUUCCGCCCACUCCCAGUCCUGUCCCUAAUCCCUGGCAACCAGGAACCUCUUCUCCAUCUCUCUAAUUUUGUCAUUUCAAGAAUGUAUAAAUGAGGGGCACCUGGGUGGCUCAGUCGGCUAAGUGUCUGCCUUCGGCUCAGGUCAUGGUCCCAGGGUCCUGGGAUCGAGCCCGCAUCGGGUUCCCUGCUCAGCCCCUUCUCCUCUCUCUGCCCCUGCUUCUGUGCACUCUCUCGCUCUCUCUCAAAUAAAUAAAAUCUUUAAAAAAAAAAAAAAAGAAUGUAUAAAUGAAAUCAUACAGUAUGUGACCAAUUUGAGGUUGGCUUUUGGGGGGCUACUCCAAAAUAAACUUAUGAAUAUUCAUAUACAGGUUUUUGUGUGGACAUAAGCUUCCAUUUCUCUGGGAUAAAUGUGUCAUUGCUAGGUCACACGUCAGCUUACUUUUUUUUUUUAAGAUUUUAUUUAUUUAUUUGGGGGGUUUUAUUUAUUUAUUUUUAUUAUUAUGUCAUGUU